AUAUUGCGCAAUGGGCGAAAGCCUGACGCAGCGACGCCGCGUGGGUGAGGAAGGCCUUCGGGUUGUAAAGCCCUUUUGCUGGGGACGAGGAUGGACGGUACCCAGCGAAUAAGCCCCGGCUAACUACGUGCCAGCAGCCGCGGUAAUACGUAGGGGGCCAGCGUUGUCCGGAUUUACUGGGCGUAAAGCGCGCGUAGGCGGAACGUUAAGUCUGGCCUGAAAGCCCCCGGCUCAACCGGGGAAGGUGGCUGGAAACUGGCGUUCUUGAGGGCGAUAGAGGAGUGUGGAAUUCCUGGUGUAGCGGUGAAAUGCGUAGAGAUCAGGAGGAACACCCAUGGCGAAGGCAGCACUCUGGGUCGGCCCUGACGCUGAGGCGCGAAAGCGUGGGGAGCGAACGGG
rnacentral:rRNA from 1 species